rnacentral:rRNA from 1 species
GUUCUCAUCUGAGGCCGGUCAUCGGAAUGGGUACAAUUUAAACCCUUUAACGAGUAUCUAUGAGAGGGCAAGUCUGGUGCCAGCAGCCGCGGUAAUUCCAGCUCUCAAAAUGCAUAGAAUUAUUGCUGCGGUUAAAAAGCUCGUAGUUGGAUCUGUGCUGAGCGACCGGUCUGCCCACUGGGCACGCACUGGCUCGCCCGGCUUUCCCUGCCGGUCUCUCUCUGACGUUGGUUUUAACCGGCUGGCGUCAGUGGGCUGGCGAGUUUACUUUGAACAAAUCAGAGUGCUUCAAACAGGCGUCUCGCCUGAAUGUUCGUGCAUGGAAUAAUAGAAGAGGAUCACGGUCCGAUUUUAUUGGUUUUGCUGACCGAGAUAAUGGUUAACAGAGACAAACGGGGCCAUUCGUAUUGCUACGUGAGAGGUGAAAUUCUUGGACCGUAGCAAGACGGACUACAGCGAAAGCAUUUGGCAAGAAUGUCUUCAUUAAUCAAGAACGAAAGUCAGAGGUUCGAAGGCGAUCAGAUACCGCCCUAGUUCUGACCGUAAACGAUGCCAACUAGCGAUCCGCCGGCGGAUUCAUUCGCCCUGGUGGGGAGCUUCCCGGAAACGAAAGUCUUCCGGUUCCGGGGGAAGUAUGGUUGCAAAGCUGAAACUUAAAGGAAUUGACGGAAGGGCACCACCAGGAGUGGAGCCUGCGGCUUAAUUUGACUCAACACGGGGAAACUCACCCGGCCCGGACACCGUAAGGAUUGACAGAUUGAUAGCUUUUUCAUGAUUCGGUGGAUGGUGGUGCAUGGCCGUUCUUAGUUCGUGGAGCGAUUUGUCUGGUUUAUUCCGAUAACGAGCGAGACUCUGGCCUACUAAAUAGUUGGCACAUUGCCACUGUGUGCACAACUUCUUAGAGGGAUUUUCGGUGUUCAGCCGCACGAAAUUGAGCAAUAACAGGUCUGUGAUGCCCUUAGAUGUCCGGGGCUGCACGCGCGCUACACUGGCAAAAUCAGCGUGCUUGUCCUCCCCCGAAAGGGGUUGGUAAACCGAUGAAAAUUUGCCGUGAUUGGGAUCGGACAUUGCAAUUAUUGUCCGUGAACGAGGAAUCCCUUGUAAGGGCGAGUCAUCAACUCGUCCUGAAUACGUCCCUGCCCUUUGUACACACCGCCCGUCGCUGCCCGGGACUGAGCCAUUUCGAGAAAACCGGGGAUUGUUGGCCUGACGGCUCUCGGGUCGUCUAGCCGAUGAGAACCGGCUUAAUCGCACUGGUUUGAACCGGGCAAAAGUCGUAACAAGGUAGCUGUAGGUGAACCUGCUGCUG